rnacentral:rRNA from 1 species
UACGGGGGGGGGCGAGCGUUGUUCGGAAUUACUGGGCGUAAAGGGUUUGUAGGUGGCCUGCUAAGUCAGACGUGAAAUCCCUCAGCUUAACUGGGGAACUGCGUCUGAUACUGGCGGGCUUGAGGACAGGAGAGGAACGCGGAAUUCCAGGUGUAGCGGUGAAAUGCGUAGAUAUCUGGAGGAACACCGGUGGCGAAGGCGGGUCUCUGGGCCGAUACUGACGCUGAGGAGCGAAAGCGUGGGGGAGCGAACAGG